rnacentral:rRNA from 1 species
GACGAACGCUGGCGGCGUGCUUAACACAUGCAAGUCGAACGGAAAGGCCUGCUUUCCCUUGUGGAUUGCGGGUACUCGAGUGGCGAACGGGUGAGUAACACGUGAGUGAUCUGCCCCCAACUUGGGUAUAAGCCUGGGAAACUGGGUCUAAUUCCCGAUAGGACUGCAGGGUGGUGCCUGUGGUGGAAAACGAUUUUCUAGUGGUUGGGGAUGAGCUCGCGGCCUAUCAGCUUGUUGGUGGGGUAAUGGCCUACCAAGGCGGCGACGGGUAGCCGGCCUGGGAGGGUGGACGGCCGCAUUGGGACUGAGGUACGGCCCAGACUCCUACGGGAGGCAGCAGUGGGGAAUAUUGCACAAUGGGCGGAAGCCUGAUGCAGCGACGCCGCGUGGGGGAUGACGGCCUUCGGGUUGUAAACUCCUUUCGACCGCGAGGAAGCCACCUGGUUGGAAGGGUGGUGACGGUAGUGGUAGAAGAAGCACCGGCUAACUACGUG